GACGAACGCUGGCGGCGUGCUUAACACAUGCAAGUCGAACGGAAAGGCCCUGCUUUUGUGGGGUGCUCGAGUGGCGAACGGGUGAGUAACACGUGAGUAACCUGCCCUUGACUUUGGGAUAACUUCAGGAAACUGGGGCUAAUACCGGAUAGGAGCUCCUGCUGCAUGGUGGGGGUUGGAAAGUUUCGGCGGUUGGGGAUGGACUCGCGGCUUAUCAGCUUGUUGGUGGGGUAGUGGCUUACCAAGGCUUUGACGGGUAGCCGGCCUGAGAGGGUGACCGGCCACAUUGGGACUGAGAUACGGGCCAGACUCCUACGGGAGGCAGCAGUGGGAAAUAUUGCACAAUGGGCGGAAGCCUGAUGCAGCAACGCCGCGUGCGGGAUGACGGCCUUCGGGUUGUAAACCGCUUUCGCCUGUGACGAAGCGUGAGUGACGGUAAUGGGUAAAGAAGCACCGGCUAACUACGUG
rnacentral:rRNA from 1 species